ACGUAAUAGAUACCCCGGUAGUCCACGCCCUAAACGAUGUCUACUAGUUGUUGGUGGAGUAAAAUCCAUGAGUAAACGCAGCUAAACGCGUGAAGUAGACCGCCUGGGGAGUACGGUCGCAAGAUUAAAACUCAAAGGAAUUGACGGGGGCCCGCGCAAGCGGUGGAUUAUGUGGAUUAAUUCGAUGCAACGCGAAAAACCUUACCUGGCCUUGACAUGCCACUAACGAAGCAGAGAUGCAUUAGGUGCCCGUAAGGGAAAGUGGACACAGGUGCUGCAUGGCUGUCGUCAGCUCGUGUCGUGAGAUGUUGGGUUAAGUCCCGCAACGAGCGCAACCCUUGCCAUUAAUUGCCAUCAUUUAGUUGGGCACUUUAAUGGGACUGCCGGUGACAAACCGGAGGAAGGUGGGGAUGACGUCAAGUCCUCAUGGCCCUUAUGGCCAGGGCUUCACACGUAAUACAAUGGUCGGUACAGAGAGUUGCCAACCCGCGAGGGGAGCUAAUCUCAGAAAGCCGAUCGUAGUCCGGAUUGUUCU
rnacentral:rRNA from 1 species